rnacentral:rRNA from 1 species
AUUGAACGCUGGCGGCAUGCCUUACACAUGCAAGUCGAACGGUAACGGGCCUUCGGGUGCCGACGAGUGGCGAACGGGUGAGUAAUACAUCGGAACGUGCCCGAUCGUGGGGGAUAACGAGGCGAAAGCUUUGCUAAUACCGCAUACGAUCUACGGAUGAAAGCAGGGGACCGCAAGGCCUUGCGCGGACGGAGCGGCCGAUGGCAGAUUAGGUAGUUGGUGGGAUAUAAGCUUACCAAGCCGACGAUCUGUAGCUGGUCUGAGAGGAUGAUCAGCCACACUGGAACUGAGACACGGCCCAGACUCCUACGGGAGGCAGCAGUGGGGAAUUUUGGACAAUGGGCGCAAGCCUGAUCCAGCCAUGCCGCGUGCAGGAUGAAGGCCUUCGGGUUGUAAACUGCUUUUGUACGGAACGAAAAGCCUUCUUUUAAUACAGGAGGGUCAUGACGGUACCGUAAGAAUAAGCACCGGCUAACUACGUG